rnacentral:rRNA from 1 species
AUAUGGUCAAGCGACUACGGGUUCACGGUGGAUGCCUUGGAGCUGUACGGCGACGAAGGCCGCGAUAAGCUGCGAAAAGCCGCGGGGAGGAGCACAUAUCCUGUGAUCCGCGGAUUGCCGAAUGGGGUAACCCAAUAGGAGCGAUCCUAUUACUGCGGGCUGAAUACAUAGGCCCGCAGAUGCGAUACCCGGGGAACUGAACCAUCUAAGUACCCGGAGGAAAAGAAAUCAAACGAGAUUCCGCAAGUAGCGGCGAGCGAACGCGGAAGAGCCCAAACCCACGCGUAUGCCAAGGUGCAUACCGUUGUACGCGGGGUGUUGUAGGUACCGUCCGGAGCGAUAUGCAGGAGCUCGUGAAGUCAUAAAGUCGAUCGAUAGCGGAACGGCAUGGGAAGGCCGGCCAGAGCGGGUGAGAGCCCCGUACGCGAAAUCGAUUGGCCUUCAUGGGGCGGUGUCCUGAGUACGGCGAGGCCAGAGAAACCUUGUCGGAAGCUGGGUCUACCACGAUCCAAGGCUACAUACGAUACAGCUACCGAUAGCGCAGAAGUACCGUGAGGGAAAGGCGAAAAGAACCCCGGCGAGGGGAGUGAAAGAGAACCUGAAACCGUGAACCCACAACAGGUCAGAGCCCAGUAAUGGGUGAUGGCGUGCCUUUUGUAGAAUGAGCCUGCGAGUUACGAUAUGCAGCGAGGUUAAGGGAUGGGAGUCCCGGAGCCGAAGGGAAACCGAGUCUUAAAUGGGCGUAUCCGCGCAAGCGGUUUAGAGUUGCAUGUCGUAGACCCGAAGCCAAGUGAUCUUACCAUGGCCAGGUUGAAGCUUGAGUAAAAUCAAGUGGAGGACCGAACCCUCGUAUGAUGAAAAAUGCAGGGAUGAGCCGUGGUAAGGGGUGAAAGGCUAAUCAAACUUGGAAAUAGCUGGCACUCCCCGAAAUGCCUUGAGGGACAGCCUCGCGCAAAUUCCCAGGGGGUAGAGCACUGUGUGGACUAGGGGGCUUCACCGCCUACCAAACCCAUGCAAACUCCGAAUACCUGGGAACAACGCGCGGGAGUGAGACUGCGUGCGACAAGGUUCGUAGUCGAGAGGGAAACAGCCCAGACCGACAGCUAAGGUCCCCAAAUGCCGCUCAGUGUGAAAUGAUGUGCGAUUGCCCAGACAGCCAGGAGGUUGGCUUAGAAGCAGCAACUCCUUUAAAGAGUGCGUAAUAGCUCACUGGUCGAGCAAUCGUGCGCAAACAAUGUAACGGGGCUAAGCGGCAUACCGAAGCUUCGGAUUCGUGCCUUUUAGGUACGGAUGGUAGGGGAGCAUUCCGUGGACCGGUGAAGGUCGCCUGGAAGGGCGGCUGGAGGGGACGGAAGAGAGAAUGCAGGUAUGAGUACACGAAAAGACGGGUGAGACUCCCGUCCGCCGAAAACCUAAGGUUUCCUGGGUAAAGGCAAUCUGCCCAGGGUUAGUCGGCCCCUAAGGCGAGGCUGAAAAGCGUAACCGAUGGGAAACUGGUUCAUAUUCCAGUACCGACGCAUGAUUCGAAGGGAUGACGCAUGAGGUGAAACCCGGCCGGAGAACGGUUGUUCCGGUCGAAGCAGUAAGCCGAUGAUCCAGACAGGCAAAUCCGUUUGGAGAGGUGAGCUGCGACAGCGAGUGGAGCUACGGCGAAGCGAAGCGGGCGUAAUCACGGUGCCAAGAAAGAGUCUCUAAGGUUCGUCAUGCAUCGACCGUACCGUAAACCGACACAGGUAGGUGGGAUGAGCAAUCUCAGGCGCGCGAGAUAACUAGCGUCAAGGAACUCGGCAAAAUGCACACGUAACUUCGGGAGAAGUGUGGCCUCCUUUGGUUUAGCAAUAGGUUAGGGGAGGUUGCAGAGAGCAGGCCCAAGCGACUGUUUACCAAAAACACAGGUCUCUGCAAACGCGCAAGCGGAUGUAUAGGGACUGACGCCUGCCCGGUGCCGGAAGGUUAAGAGGAGAAGUCAGCGGCAACGCGAAGCCUUGAAUCGAAGCCCCGGUAAACGGCGGCCGUAACUAUAACGGUCCUAAGGUAGCGAAAUUCCUUGUCAGGUAAGUUCUGACCCGCACGAAUGGUGGAACGAUUUGGGCACUGUCUCGACGCUAGACUCGGUGAAAUUUAAGUAGCGGUAAAGAUGCCGCUUACUCGUGGUUAGACGGAAAGACCCCGUGAACCUUCACUGCAACUUACUAUUGGGACUUGGCUUGACAUGUGUAGGAUAGGUGGGAGACAGCGAAGCAUGGCCGCUAGGUUGUGUGGAGUCGUCGGUGAAAUACCACUCUUGUCAGGUUAGGUUUCUAACCGGUGCCUUCAAUCAGGUAUCGGAACAGUGGUAGGCAGGCAGUUUGACUGGGGCGGUCGCCUCCUAAACAGUAACGGAGGUGCGCGAAGGUCACCUUGCUCUGGUUGGAAAUCAGAGCGCAAGUGUAAAGGCAUAAGGUGGCUUGACUGCGAGUCCGACAGGACGAGCAGGUACGAAAGUAGGUCUUAGUGAUCUGGCGGUGGCACGUGGAAGCGCCGUCACUUAACGGAUAAAAGGUACUCUGGGGAUAACAGGCUGAUUUUGCCCAAGAGUUCACAUCGACGGCAAAGUUUGGCACCUCGAUGUCGGCUCAUCGCAUCCUGGGGCUGGAGCAGGUCCCAAGGGUUUGGCUGUUCGCCAAUUAAAGCGGUACGUGAGCUGGGUUCAGAACGUCGUGAGACAGUUCGGUCCCUAUCUGCCACGAGCGUUGGAUGGUUGAGAGGAUCUGCCUUUAGUACGAGAGGACCGAGGUGGACGAACCUCUGGUGUACCGGUUAUCCUGCCAAGGGUAAGCGCCGGGUAGCCAAGUUCGGAAGGGAUAACCGCUGAAAGCAUCUAAGUGGGAAGCCUGCCUCAAGAUGAACCAUCCCUGGGGGUUCGACCCCCCUGAAGGAGCCAGGAAGACUACCUGGUCGAUAGGCUGCAGGUGUAAGCGCGGUAACGCGUUCAGCCGAGCAGUACUAAUCCUCCGUGAGGCUUGACCAUAU